UACAUUUGCAGCAUAUUCGGUUUCUUAUUCUUUUUUUAUCAUCAGAAUAUAGAAUUAAAAGGGAAUUUGGUGAAAAUCCAAAACUGUUCCCGCAACUGUAAAACUUAUUUAAAGGCAUCAUUAAUAAAAACCACUGUAAAAAUUACGGGAAGGUAAAUGAAUGCUUGAGUUAAGUCAGGAGACCUGCCAAUAUCAAACUAAUUUAU
rnacentral:ncRNA from 1 species